rnacentral:misc_RNA from 1 species
GAUGAAGAACGUAGCGAAAUGCGAUAAGUAGUGUGAAUUGCAGAAUUCCGUGAAUCAUCGAAUCUUUGAACGCACAUUGCGCCCCCUGGUAUUCCGGGGGGCAUGCCUGUCCGAGCGUCAUUGCUGCCCUCAAGCACGGCUUGUGUGUUGGGCCCCGUCCUCCGAUUCCGGGGGACGGGCCCGAAAGGCAGCGGCGGCACCGCGUCCGGUCCUCGAGCGUAUGGGGCUUUGUCACCCGCUCUGUAGGCCCGGCCGGCGCUUGCCGAUCAACCCAAAUUUUUAUCCAGGUUGACCUCGGAUCAGGUAGGGAUACCCGCUGAACUUAAGCAUAUCAAUAAGCGGAGGA